GAUUCAUAAUAACUUCUCGAAUCGCACGGCCUUGCGCUGGCGAUGGUUCAUUCAAAUUUCUGCCCUAUCAACUUUCGACGGCUGGGUCUUGGCCAGCCAUGGUGACAACGGGUAACGGAGGGUUAGGGCUCGACCCCGGAGAAGGAGCCUGAGAAACGGCUACUACAUCCAAGGAAGGCAGCAGGCGCGCAAAUUACCCAAUCCCGACACGGGGAGGUAGUGACAAUAAAUACUGAUACAGGGCUCUUUUGGGUCUUGUAAUUGGAAUGAGUACAAUUUAAAUCCCUUAACGAGGAACAAUUGGAGGGCAAGUCUGGUGCCAGCAGCCGCGGUAAUUCCAGCUCCAAUAGCGUAUAUUAAAGUUGUUGAGGUUAAAAAGCUCGUAGUUGAACCUUGGGCCUAGCCGGCCGGUCCGCCUCACCGCGUGCACUGGCUCGGCUGGGCCUUUCCUUCUGGAGAACCUCAUGCCCUUCACUGGGCGUGCUGGGGAACCAGGACUUUUAC
rnacentral:rRNA from 1 species